AGUGAACGCUGGCGGUAGGCCUAACACAUGCAAGUCGAACGGCAGCACAGUAAGAGCUUGCUCUUACGGGUGGCGAGUGGCGGACGGGUGAGGAAUACAUCGGAAUCUACUUUUUCGUGGGGGAUAACGUAGGGAAACUUACGCUAAUACCGCAUACGACCUACGGGUGAAAGCAGGGGAUCUUCGGACCUUGCGCGAUUGAAUGAGCCGAUGUCGGAUUUGCUAGUUGGCGGGGUAAAGGCCCACCAAGGCGACGAUCCGUAGCUGGUCUGAGAGGAUGAUCAGCCAACCUGGAACUGAGACACGGUCCAGACUCCUACGGGAGGCAGCAGUGGGGAAUAUUGGACAAUGGGCGCAAGCCUGAUCCAGCCAUACCGCGUGGGUGAAGAAGGCCUUCGGGUUGUAAAGCCCUUUUGUUGGGAAAGAAAAGCAGCAGGUUAAUACCCCGCUGUUCUGACGGUACCCAAAGAAUAAGCACCGGCUAACUUCGUG
rnacentral:rRNA from 1 species